AUGUCGAUUUGCAGGUUUACCAACAGGGAGGUUAAUAAUCAGGAUCUGUAUUAUACAAACAACCAUGUGAACUUAAAAGCAGAUAUUUUUCUCAGAGUCUUCAAAUACCAGUCCAGCCAAGCUGACAUCUUGAUUUUAACCUGGUUGUGGUCUAGAAGCAUAUUGUGAUUUCUACAAGACACACGUUCCCAUUUGGAGCUUUAACAAAUUCAACCGUUUCAUGUUCUGUGUAAGUAAAUUUUAGGUUGCCCAUCAUUGAAAGCCAGUUUUUAAAAAAAUCACAGGAGUGGAUAAUCCAGAGAACAUUUUCUACUGUGUUUGUGAUUCCAGUGGUUGGAAAGUAAAAUUGUGGAGGAAGGGCUGGGAUAUCUCCAGGGGCUUACUUAGCAUCAUCAAAGCCUCUCCCGCUUCCCCCUUGCACGUUACCGUAUCUGCUUUACCAAUCAGAGGGAAAUUUAUCAUGUAGGAUUUAGAGGAGAUAUUUAUGGCCUCCGUAAGCACAAUGACUUUGACUGGUAAGACGUCAGUUAUUCCCUUUAGGAGAUAAAAGGCCACAGCUGGUGAGAUAAUAGAACAGGAACUGUUUCAGUAUUUCAAAACAGAAGACCCAGUUGAAGAAGGGAUUUUAUAUGGCAUUUGCUUUUAUUUUUUUCCUUCUAUGAUGAACAGGUGUGGGAGUCAAUUCGAGAAGGCUGCUUAGAUGAUUGUGGGACAAGGGAGGGAGGUAAAUAUUUUUGAUGGUUGGGGAAAGAUUCAGAUUUUCAAACUUUAAACCAAAUAUGUAGUCCAAGCCUUUUCUACCUGUGUACACAAAGGAAAGAGGAAGCUGGGUCAACAUAAAAUAGGCAGUUGUUGUUUAGAUUAUUCAUUAAGUUAUGAAAUCUGCAUGGCUACACAAAACAGAAAGCCGCUAUGUGACAAGUGUUUGAUGUGAGCAUGCAAAUGCAGUUUUAAAUUCGUUAAACCUAAUGGAACAAGGUAUCUGGAUGCGGGGGGAGGGGUUCUACUAUUUCCUGAGCUUAUACAGCAGGUUCUUGAAUAAUGUCAUUUAAGUUCAAUAUCAUUUCCUUACAAUGUGGAUGAGAAACAAUGAAUUCCUAGCUGAAGUCAUUGUGUAUAUGGACUUUGCAAGUCCUCCCCAUGUCUGGUUUCCUCCCAAAACCCAAAGCUGCAUUCGGUAGAUGAAUCAGUGUGUCUCACUGGUCCCAGUGUGAGUGAGUGUCAGUGUGUAUGAGUGUGCCCUGCAAUGGGAAAGGUGGCCUGUCUGGGGCUGGUUCCAGCCUGGUACCGCGAGCUACCAGAAUUGUCUCUGGCCACUUGAGCUCCUGAACUUGAAUAAGUGGGUAGAUGAUUAUCUUACUUGUUUUUGUGAACCCUUCUUAAAUGUAUGUGUAACUCUUAUUCAUUUCAAAGUUAUUUUGAUAUUUAUUUCAAUAUUAGAAAUGUUUGGGUCUUUAUUUUAGAAGUUUGGUGAUUUUUUUUGUGACCAGAAAUAUGCUGUAGCAACUUAACUCUUAUUUAGAUCAAUUAGCCUACGGUAAAGCUGUUUUUGUUAUAUGUCCUUUCAUUUGAAGUCCCAGUUUCCAAGAACCUAUCGUCAAAGGUCUUAGUGUACUUCUGGGCACACACUGGGCUAAGCAUCUUACAUUAUCAACUAGAAGAUGAGGUGAAAUAAAAUAUGUUAGUAAAGUGAUCUUGAAAAAGUUAUCUCAUUCUAAUAAAUUAUAAGAUUAUUAAAAUGACUUAGAACAUAUUAAAGCACUGUAAAAAGUAAAUCUUAGUAGAUGCAUUAGGGGUGUGAUUGGCAUUGCUAACAUUAUUAAAAUCUUUCAGUGCUGGGCUAUUUCUACCCUUACAACCCCAUAGGCCUGUAGAGUAUCUUAUAAGAAAACCCACAAUAAAUAUUUGAUAAAUUGCUGAGUAAAAGGUAGGUAUUUUGCACUUAAAGUGCUUGCAAAGUACCUCAUCAACAAGAGAAAAAGGCAAGAGAAUAACCUUGCUUAUGAAUAAAGUAUCGAUCACUUAGGCAUUACAUUUUCCAUUUGUUCUAUUUUUUUUUUCCAGCAGAAACUCUUGGAGAAAUUGCAUAGCAUUAUUUUAAACAAUUCCCCUCAGGGGACCAUUAAAUAGGCUUUUCUGCAGACAGGAUAGAUGUCUUUUACAGCUGGUCGGUGUUUAGUUCUCUAAAUUCUUGACUGAAUAAAGAAAAUGACUGGGAUGUAGGAUAUCUGACCUAUAGAUUGCUCAUUCUCUGCAUGAGUCAAUGUUUGAAGUCUGAAGAUAAAAACCACCAUUAAUCACAAAGCUUUCCUAUAGUCCUAAGGUCAUAUAUCCCAGGGCCCUUCCAAAAUUACCACGUGGACUGGCAUAGGGAGAGAUCUGCUCAGCUGUGGUCGCUUUUAUGACACAGAGCUCCUUCUCUCUGGUUGAUAUUGAAUGAGCAGGAAGGAAGAAAAGAAAUAAAAGUCAGCUAACCAUGGUUGAGUCAAUUCAGUCCAUGCCAUUCAAAGGCUGAAGGGCCACCUGACUCUCCAGAGGCUGCUGGAGAUGCAAGGCUCUUUCAUCCUGGGGUGAGUUUCUGGUUAGAGGAAAUACUGACUUGAAUGAAACAAAGCGUCUGUACCUUGCUUUAUUGGACAAUGAAAGUUCCCAUCAUACUGACCAAAGAUUGAGGAUUUGAGACAUGUGGGGAUGCAUUAAUAUCUCACGUGUGGCUGUGUGUUUCCAAAUGCUAAUUUCUUUUCCUGCAAAACCAGGUAUGUAAGGCUAAGGCGAAAGGAAACUUUUUCUCCUAUGAAAAUCUGGAUCCAAUUCAAUCCCAUUUCGUUUCAAAAACAUUUAUUUACUUUGUGUCCCUUAAGUAAAUAGAAUAUUAUUCUGAAAACACAAAGGAGGUAGGAACUGAAGUGAGUUGGGAAGUUAAAGGAAAGAAACGAAGGGAAGGGGGGAAAAAACAGAGAGAGGGUGGAAGGAAAGAUUGCUGGGUGAUCUUCUGUGCUGUUUAAUAGACACCUUAUUGCUUUCAAUCCUCAAAGCAGUCUUGGGAGAAUGGUGUUGUUUAACCAUUUGCCAGAGGAGGAAACUGAAACUCAGGGAGAUUGCUACUUGCCCAGGGAGGUAAAUAUUGUUCAUUCAGGUUGGCUUUUUGAUGUCUGAAUUCUUUUCUGUAAUUUUGGAAUUGCUCUCAUUUUGAUUAUUUACAGUGGGGAUGGGACAGGAAACCUCUUGUAAUUGGAACAGAAAAUACUAGAUGCUCACUUUCCCCUUUCCCAGACUCCCUUGAAGCUAUGGCAAAGGCUCCGAUAACCACAGGCAUCUGCCCCAGAUUUUUCCUCAGAAGUGUCUG
rnacentral:lncRNA from 1 species